AGGGGUAUAGCUCAACUGGCAGAGCGCUGGUCUCCAAAACCAGAGGUUGGGGGUUCGAUUCCCUCUGCCCCUG
rnacentral:tRNA from 1 species